UACAGAGGGUGCGAGCGUUAAUCGGAAUUACUGGGCGUAAAGCGCACGUAGGUGGCGACGUAAGUCGGGUGUGAAAGCCCCGGGCUCAACCUGGGAAUUGCAUUCGAGACUGCAUUGCUGGAGUACGGAAGAGGAAGGCGGAAUUCCCGGUGUAGCGGUGAAAUGCGUAGAUAUCGGGAGGAACAUCAGUGGCGAAGGCGGCCUUCUGGUCCAGUACUGACGCUCAAGUGCGAAAGCGUGGGGAGCAAACAGG
rnacentral:rRNA from 1 species